rnacentral:piRNA from 1 species
UGAAAUGAGAGAAGUUGAGAUGGACUUGCC